CCUACGGGUGGCAGCAGUGGGGAAUAUUGGGCAAUGGGCGCAAGCCUGACCCAGCAACGCCGCGUGAGUGAAGAAGUCUUUCGGGUUGUAAACUUCUUUUCUGAGGGACGAAGAAAGUGACAGUACCUCAGGAAUAAGCCACUGCUAACUACGUGCCAGCAGCCGCGGUAAUACGUAGGUGGCAAUCGUUAGCCGGAUUUAUUGGGUGGAAAGGGCUUGUAGGCGGGAAAGCAAGUCAGAUGUGAAAACUCAGGGCUCAACCCUGAGCCUGCAUUUGAAACUGUGCUUCUUGAGUGCAGGAGAGGUAAGCGGAAUUCCGGGUGUAGCGGUGAAAUGCGUAGAUAUAAGGAGGAACACCAGUGGCGAAGGCGGAUUGCUGGACAGUAACUGACGCUGAGGCGCGAAAGCGUGGGGAGCAAACAGGAUUAGAUACCCUAGUAGUC
rnacentral:rRNA from 1 species